CAUUUGCGUUGGAAAGCGGUGAAUGUGGUGCCAGGCAGUGGGUCAAAACCGAUUUUAACUCGCAGCAUGAGAGAAAAGUUUCUCUCUCGAGGUCCCUCGAUGCCUGUGACGUGGUUGGUUAACCGCCGAACCAGCGGUAGCUUGGCUCACUAAGCCCUGCACGUGAAUUGAAAGGAACGACGACGCCAGAGCCUCAAAAGUUCACAUCCUUCGGCAUUCUAGCAAAAGCGACUUGGGCGGAAAAGGCUAUACUAUAGCCCACACAACCAAAACUGGCGGGAUCGCAAGGCCGACACUCUCGGUCUUGUACAAGCCACAGCUCGCCGAAUUUCGGAUUCCCAUAUUGCCUCACUAUUCGCCAGGGUGAUUUUCUUUCCCAUCGAGGAGUGGCUUUGCACGCCCCUCUCCAAUUUCUAUCCUCGAACAGGCGUUGAACCCUCAUUUGAGGCCAAGAGUGCUUGGGUGAGCCCUCCCCGCUGUUGGCAUACACAAUCGUCCUGUGCCCAAACGAUUGGGCAAAGAUUUCUGAUGGAGAGGUUGAACAUGACGGCGCUGCGAUCCAAGGCGCUUGUGACAAAGGUAUCAGGUGGAACACCACAUUAGUACCGCCUAGUUGUUCGCUUGAGACCGCCUCUGCAAGGGGCGCAUAUGGAUAUUCAGUAUCUCUUCCCUUGUCACAUUGUAUUUCCCCUUCCAUGGCUCUCCCCGUCAGGUAAUUAGCAUGAGAAAUGCGAGGGACAUUAUUGGCGGCAGCUGAUCGUCGUUGCCCAAAGUGAAAUUACCGGCUGCGAAAAAUCAAUUCGGUCUAAUUGAUACAGUCAACCUGAGGACGGUUUUCCCUGCCUUUUGCGCAAUUAUCCGAGUUUUCCUACAGAAGCCUCAAAUCUGUUGUCUAGGCGUCGUUAUGAAAGUUCUCAUUUGAUGCCCUCAUUUUACUCUAACUGCCUGUCAUUUGGGGUAAAAUCGUUUUCCGGGUUUGAGAAAUAGUAACUAAGCUCCUUGCUCCACUCCGAUCUCUUCUAUCCAUUCUUCGAAGUCCUAUUUCCUUUGUGUUGAUGAUGAAAGAGACCAGUUAGUCAUAUGCUAACCUGCCUCCAAUUGAGCGACCUUGUUUCUGUUCAUCUUUCGUCAUUCCGCCUGAUGGAGUGGGAUUGAUAGUUACUUUGUUUCCCUAUCUCAAGAAAUUUUCCAGUCGUUGCCUACUCUUCGUGGCAUUGCGAUCUAUCACCGCCUUGUCUUGUUUGCCUUCCUUCGAAGUUGAUAUUAUCUACAUGGUAGUGGCGGCGCACAGCAGCUUCCCACGCGUUACUUCAUUGCAAUACGUUCCCCUGAAUUUUAUAUAAAGCGGUUGGUGUCGCCGUUUCAAUGUGAUCAUGGAAACCAAUAUUAGACCACUUUCUAUAUAUUUUCAAGAUACUUUCGAUAAAUCAGAUAAUUUUCUUUGC
rnacentral:sRNA from 1 species